CUCUUGUUUCCUCACGUUUACUCCUCGUCUUGUUUGUGUCACGACUCACGAGCAACCUACCACGACCACGCCGCCGCCGGUCGCCGACGUGAAGUUGCCCCCCGCACGCUGCCGCCUCUAGCCGCCGGGGAGUUGGCCUGCGCACGCCCCGCCGGUCGCCGCCGGGGAUUCGGAUCAGUCCUCUGCUCGAAGAUCUACUCCUUGGCGGCGGCGGCCCCUGGGACCCGUGGCCUCCGGCGGGAAUGGCGACUCGCGGCUCGCUCGAUCCGUGUCCUCCGGUGGGGAUGGCGGCGCGAGCAGAAGCCCCAGGCUGCAAUGGGGUAGCGGGCACCGGCGUGAUCUGCGGCGGCGCGUCUCCCGCUUCGACCAGCGGCAACGGGUGGUGACGGCGGCGCGUAUGGAGAAGCGACCACAGGCUUCAGAGGGAGGGCUGCGAGCGGCCGGGGUCGACGGUUGUGUUCGUCGGAUCUUCCUGCUACGGGAUCAUCUCUGAUGUGAAGCCAUACUGUCGGAUUCGAGUAACAAACUGUGCAAGGCAUGAAUUAAUUUGUAUAUUGGCUAAUCAUGAGCCUUAUUUUCCCCAAUUACUUGUGGAAUCUCAUGAGGACACUUCAAAGCAGUAAUGUCUAAGCACUGAAUUUCAUUUUGCUUGAGACCAUCGUGCAAGACUUCCCAGAUAAGUUUAUGCUCUGAAGAACCUAACAGACAUCAAUGGAACAGGCCAAGUAGCUAUUCUGAAAGGUUUACUCAUGUGAAAUAGUUUCUUAUAAAGGAUUUCUUUCAGCUGUACAAAAUUUAACAAAUAAAAAGAAGACCUGACAGCAGUGGGCAAAGUUACAGAUUAAUUCUUGAAAUGGAUAUGAUCCUUUUAUUUGUUUUAUUGCAGGGUAAGCCUUGAAGAAUAACAGAUAUCUUGCUUAAGAAAGUCCUACCAGAUCUCACAAGAUGAUUAAUAAAAUUGUCUGGCAUGAGUUGUUCAUUGAACUUGGGAAUUGCUUUUGCACAGUUGAUGCAGAAGGAUGAUUAGCUACUGGAGGUAAAAGAGAAAGUUCAGUUCUUGCAAGAAAAGAACCUGGCUGUGUGGAGUUGUUGGGUCACUUCAAGAACCGGGUCUUAACCUUUUCUGUUGUACGGCAGAAGAAAUAAAACGAAAUUGAGAUGUUGGCUCCUCUAGGAGGCUGGCAGAGUGCCACUGCUCUUGAAGAACAAGUGAUGUUACUAGGAUCCUAUUUGUAAUUGAGUUUGAAUUUAGCAUUAAGAAAAAAAACUUAUGUAUUAUUUUCUCGGUUUCCUAUCUAAAUGAGGCAAUCUUAUCUAGAGCAAUGAGUCUUAGCUAUCAAUGUGAUGUAACAAACCAUCAAGAUAUUCAUUUAUAUUUAUACAUGCUUCCUAUUGAUGGCC